rnacentral:rRNA from 1 species
UUUAAAGAGAGUUUGAUCCUGGCUCAGGACGAACGCUGGCGGCGUGCCUAAUACAUGCAAGUCGAACGAACGGAGGAAGAGCUUGCUCUUCCAAAGUUAGUGGCGGACGGGUGAGUAACACGUGGGCAACCUGCCUGUAAGUUGGGGAUAACUCCGGGAAACCGGGGCUAAUACCGAAUGAUAAAGUGUGGCGCAUGCCACGCUUUUGAAAGAUGGUUUCGGCUAUCGCUUACAGAUGGGCCCGCGGUGCAUUAGCUAGUUGGUAGGGUAAUGGCCUACCAAGGCAACGAUGCAUAGCCGACCUGAGAGGGUGAUCGGCCACACUGGGACUGAGACACGGCCCAGACUCCUACGGGAGGCAGCAGUAGGGAAUCUUCCGCAAUGGACGAAAGUCUGACGGAGCAACGCCGCGUGUAUGAAGAAGGUUUUCGGAUCGUAAAGUACUGUUGUUAGAGAAGAACAAGGAU